UACGAAGGGUGCUAGCGUUGUUCGGAAUUACUGGGCGUAAAGCGCGCGUAGGCGGUCUAUCAAGUCAGAGGUGAAAUCCCUGGGCUCAACCCAGGAACUGCCUUUGAAACUGAUAAACUAGAGUGUCGGAGGGGAUAGCGGAAUUGCUAAUGUAGAGGUGAAAUUCGUAGAUAUUAGCAGGAACACCGGUGGCGAAGGCGGCUAUCUGGACGACAACUGACGCUGAGGCGCGAAAGCGUGGGGAUCAAACAGG
rnacentral:rRNA from 1 species